rnacentral:rRNA from 1 species
GGGCUAAACCAUGCACCGAAGCUGCGGCAGCGAACGUAUCACUUAAAUUUGUUUGAGUGAAUAACGAUUGACGGAACGAAGUGACGUCAAUGCGUUAAUGAAAGUCGAGGCGAAAGCACGACAAAGCGAAUUUAAGGAUACGUUCGUUGGGUAGGGGAGCGUUCUGUAAGCCUGCGAAGGUGUACUGUGAGGUAUGCUGGAGGUAUCAGAAGUGCGAAUGCUGACAUAAGUAACGAUAAUGCGGGUGAAAAACCCGCACGCCGGAAGACCAAGGGUUCCUGUCCAACGUUAAUCGGGGCAGGGUGAGUCGACCCCUAAGGCGAGGCUGAAAAGCGUAGUCGAUGGGAAACGGGUUAAUAUUCCCGUACUGGUGGUAACUGCGAUGGGGGAACGGAGAAGGCUAGGUUGUCCGGGCGACGGUCGUCCCGGUUCAAGCAGGUAGGCAGAGUGAUUAGGCAAAUCCGGUCACUUAAUGCUGAGAUGUGAUGACGAACCACCAAGGUGGUGAAGCAAUUGAUGCCCCGCUUCCAGGAAAAGCCUCUAAGCUUCAGGUUACCAACAAUCGUACCCCAAACCGACACAGGUGGUCAGGUAGAGAAUACUCAGGCGCUUGAGAGAACUCGGGUGAAGGAACUAGGCAAAAUGGUGCCGUAACUUCGGGAGAAGGCACG